CUGGCUCGCACGUGAGACUCGACGGCGGCGGAGGCGUCGUCUUUUCGCAAGGAGAGAUGAAAACCGGAGCUCGCGUGUCAUGCAGUCACGGUGCGCGUAGUUUAUUUCCUCUUUUCUCCUCUCUGUGCUCCUCGUCUAUCCGCGUGUGCAGACGAUGCGUACACGCACGUACGCGCCCGUAAAUUUACGCGAGGCGAAGCUAGCGCACCUUUUGCCUAGCCUCACCCAUCCCACAUCCGGCGGAUAUGCUCACGUGGGUUUACGGAAAACGAGUUAUCGUUUGGGAAUUUUCCGACCCGCGGCUUAUGAGACGUCUAGGAGAAGAAGGCAGGCACCCGGGCUGAAUUAAAACACACAACGCCGUCUCGUGGAGAAAGCAGCUCGGCGACGAGACACAAUGCACUACAGCGGAAUAGAACGGACGACACACGUGCGAUAUACCGUGCAGCCAAGUAUUGCAUACGACAGUAGAAAAGAUUGUAUUUUAGACCUUCGACGCUAGAUGGACGAACAUUAAUUCACUUCCACGGCAAAUUGACAGGGAAGACAUUUACGGUUUCGUUUUUACUUAUUGCAUCGUCUUUUCUCGAGAAAGCCAUGAUAAAAGAGAGGAUCGUCAAAGACGAUCGAUGAUGUUGUAGUGCACAAGGAGUGCACGGGGUCAGUUACACUCGACGACGUAUAUAAUUCCAGUGUAAAGACAAGAGUCUCACCGACAAUAUUUAGACGCAAUGAAACAUUUAUGCAAUUAUACAGCGUCUCUAUGUGUUGUAGUCGGAUAUAUUAAUAUUUACACACGGAAGAGGAUGCUGUUUGAAGACGUACCCCCUGAAGGGAUAACAAUGUUAUGUCUUUGUCACGAUGUUUAUAGUUUAUAGAUAGCUUGUAAUAUUUUUCUUUGUCAUCCAUGUUGCACACGGCUUUUAGCGAGUAUCCAAUGGUAUCGUGUUACGAAAAUUAUAUGUCCUUUGUUUCGACAAAUAUGUUAUUGAAUGUCCACGCGAUGCUUUUUCACGUUAAUUAAAUUACAAUUAAUAAUUAGAGACUGACUUUUGUUAUGUUACCUGUAUUUCGCAUACGACUGUAAUUAUUACACUCACAACGUAACAUAAAAUUUUCUCCGCAAAAGUCCGUUUUACACAUAUUAUUUCGCCACGAGAGCUUCCUAUUCGUUUGGUGAUUCGAUAACUCUAAUAUCGAUGUGAAAUUUGAAUGCCCGGCGCAGCUUUAUUCUCUUCGAAUAAUCGGGAAAAACCGACGAGCAGCGCGCGUGCACGUGUAUUACAACAGAUAUGGAAACCAACUAAUUUUGAUAUCUGAACGACAUUCGUGAGAAACACCGCGUCGGCUCUCGUAAGAGCCGCGUAUAUCGGCGACAUUACCGAACGAGGUCGACGGAGUGCUCUUGAGCACGCACGUGCCAUUUGCGGAAGUAGGAAUCGGCGAAGGGAUGAAGGGGAUACACGACGAAUAUACUAGUUAAGGCGAAUUUACGCUCAUCGUUUCGACGAGUGUCUCGAGAGAAUCUCAUGCGAAGCUAAUGAAUAAAACCAAGAGAUUUGUUCGUUUGUUCGUUUGUUCGUUUGUUCGUUUAUUAAAUUCGAUUUAAU
rnacentral:lncRNA from 1 species